AUUGAACGCUGGCGGCAGGCCUAACACAUGCAAGUCGAGCGGGGUUUUCGGACCUAGCGGCGGACGGGUGAGUAAUGCGUAGGAAGCUACCCGAUAGAGGGGGAUACCAGUUGGAAACGACUGUUAAUACCGCAUAAUGUCUACGGACCAAAGUGUGGGACCUUCGGGCCACAUGCUAUCGGAUGCGCCUACGUGGGAUUAGCUAGUUGGUGAGGUAAUGGCUCACCAAGGCGACGAUCUCUAGCUGGUUUGAGAGGAUGAUCAGCCACACUGGAACUGAGACACGGUCCAGACUCCUACGGGAGGCAGCAGUGGGGAAUAUUGGACAAUGGGCGCAAGCCUGAUCCAGCCAUGCCGCGUGUGUGAAGAAGGCCUUCGGGUUGUAAAGCACUUUCAGUAGGGAGGAAGCGUUGAGUGUUAAUAGUACUCAGCGUUGACGUUACCUACAGAAGAAGCACCGGCUAACUCUGUGCCAGCAGCCGCAGUAA
rnacentral:rRNA from 1 species